rnacentral:rRNA from 1 species
AGCGCAGGCGGGAAGACAAGUUGGAAGUGAAAACCAUGGGCCCAACCCAUGAAUUGCUUUCAAAACUGUUUUUCUUGAGUAGUGCAGAGGUAGAUGGAAUUCCCGGUGUAGCGGUGGAAUGCGUAGAUAUCGGGAGGAACACCAGUGGCGAAGGCGGUCUACUGGGCACCAACUGACGCUGAGGCUCGAAAGCAUGGGUAGCAAACA